GCAGUGGUGGUUCAGUGAUAGAAUUAUUGCCUUCCAUGUGGCAGACCCAGGUUUGAUCCCUGGCCAAUGCA
rnacentral:tRNA from 1 species